GUCAUAUUUGACCAUGAAUUUCGAUCCCCCAUUCCAAACUGGAGAACCAAGAAGAAUCUGAUUUAAAUCAGUAGGAUGUUAAAAUGCAGGUACCAAACACUCGAAACUGACAAGAAAGCAAUGAUUUUGAUUGGCUGAUGCUGUUCACGCAAUAUGGCCAACGUUAGAUAAUACAAGUCUACUCCCAGUUGACGAACCCGAGGCUCAAUAGUUUUUAUCAACCGCUGGUUCAAAGUGAGCCGAUGGUAGCUGACUAUCUAAAGCGCGCAGCUACCUAUAUUGUAAUUUCUUAACUACAUACAUACAAUUCUACUUUAAAAAUUAUUUGCAACAAUAACACUGAAUGGUGUAUUUAAAUGAUGCAAAAACCA